UACGUAGGGUGCGAGCGUUAAUCGGAAUUACUGGGCGUAAAGCGUGCGCAGGCGGUUCGUUAAGUCAGAUGUGAAAGCCCCGGGCUCAACCUGGGAACUGCAUUUGAAACUGGCGGGCUUGAGUAUGGCAGAGGGGGGUGGAAUUCCGCGUGUAGCAGUGAAAUGCGUAGAUAUCGGGAGGAACACCAGUGGCGAAAGCGGCUACCUGGCCCAUUCUUGACGCUGAGGCGCGAAAGCUAGGGGAGCAAACGGG
rnacentral:rRNA from 1 species